rnacentral:misc_RNA from 1 species
GAUGAUACUUAAACUAUUCACUUGAUUAUAGUUUGAACUUGUGUAUUUUGAAACACGAUGUUCAAUAGAUUUAGAUGGUAGUUCAAGUAUUCCAGAUGGUAGAAAUGGGAUAUACAUAUAUGUUUCAGUCUUAUCCCCGUAAAAAAAGUUGUAACUCUUGUUGAUCGGAUGGUAGAAACAUAGGUCUUUAAUCCCAUAUAGGUAUUCGAGUAUAUGCAAAAGAGUAAGAUGGAUCUUGAUAAUCUUUGUUUUAGUAAACAUAUAAGAUUCAUUUUAUAUCUUUUGUAAUACUAAACAUAUUCAUGGAUAUGCAAAAAGAAAACUAGGUAUAUGGUUGUGUGAUGAAGAAAUUACAAAAGACAUCAUUGAUGUUUGAGGAUAUAUGUCGAAAGUGAAGUUUUUAGCAAACUAUGUUGAAAGAGCAUUGUGAAGCACAUUAAAGAGCGUUCAUCACUUUUGCACUUGUAAUUUUCUCGGAUCAUUGUAUUUGUACCUUUUAGUGUAGUCUUCUGUUGUUGUAAUUUCAUUAUUAAUAGGAAAAAUUAUCUUAUGUUCAUUAUUGAUACCUUUCACUGUCUAAUCAAAUAAUCAGUUUCGUUGCU